rnacentral:rRNA from 1 species
AAUGAACGCUGGCGGCGUGCCUAACACAUGCAAGUCGAGCGAACGGAUGAGGAGCUUGCUCCUCUGCGGUUAGCGGCGGACGGGUGAGUAACACAUGGAUAACCUACCUAUUAGACUGGGAUAACUUCGGGAAAACGGAUCCCCUACCAGAUCAUAUAUUCAACCGCAUAGUUCAAUCGUGCUUGGCGCCUUUGCCGUCACUUUUAGCUGAAUCCGCGCCGCAUUAGCUAGUUGGUAAGGUAACGGCCUACCAAGGCAACGAUGCGUAGCCGACCUGAGAGGCUGAUCGGCCACACUGGAACUGAGACACGGUCCAGACUCCUACGGGAGGCAGCAGUAGGGAAUCUUCCGCAAUGGGCGCAAGCCUGACGCAGCAACGCCGCGUGAGUGAUGAAGGUCUUCGGAUCGUAAAGCUCUGUUAUUAGGGAAGAACAAAUGUGUAAGUAACCAUGCACGUCCUGACGGUACCUAAACAGAAAGCAACGGCUAACUUCGUG